UGUGGCUUUUGAUAAGGAAAACCGCCGCCUGGGUCGCGGUAAGGGCUAUUACGAUCGUUUCCUGAGUUCAUUCUCUCAGCCGCGA
rnacentral:tRNA from 1 species